UACGGAGGGUGCAAGCGUUAUCCGGAUUCACUGGGUUUAAAGGGUGUGUAGGCGGGUCUGUAAGUCAGUGGUGAAAUCUCCGAGCUCAACUUGGAAACUGCCAUUGAUACUAUAGAUCUUGAAUUUUGUUGAGGUAGGCGGAAUAUGUCAUGUAGCGGUGAAAUGACAUAGAUAUGACAUAGAACACCGAUUGCGAAGGCAGCUUACUAAGCAAAUAUUGACGCUGAGGCACGAAAGCGUGGGGAUCAAACAGG
rnacentral:rRNA from 1 species